AGAGUGAACGCUGGCGGUAGGCCUAACACAUGCAAGUCGAACGGCAGCACAGUAGGGGCUUGCUCUUACGGGUGGCGAGUGGCGGACGGGUGAGGAAUACAUCGGAAUCUACCUUUUGGUGGGGGAUAACGUAGGGAAACUUACGCUAAUACCGCAUACGCCCUUCGGGGGAAAGCCGGGGACCAGCAAUGGCCUGGCGCUGAUAGAUGAGCCGAUGUCGGAUUAGCUAGUUGGUGAGGUAAUGGCUCACCAAGGCGACGAUCCGUAGCUGGUCUGAGAGGAUGAUCAGCCACACUGGAACUGAGACACGGUCCAGACUCCGUACGGGAGCAGCAGGUGGGGAAUAUUGGACAAGU
rnacentral:rRNA from 1 species